UAUAGGAAUAAUUGAUGGGAAAGGAAUUCAUAUAAGAUAGAUGUAACUGAAAACUGACUAUGGAAAGUCGAUAAAUUAUGGUUGGACAAUUUCUAAGCUGAUUGCCAUGUUGUCGGUUUAGACUUCUCAAUGCUUCGAGAGUCAUAUCACUCUCUUCUUCA